CCUACGGGGGGCUGCAGUGAGGAAUAUUGGUCAAUGGCCGGAAGGCUGAACCAGCCAUGCCGCGUGAAGGUCAGUGCCCUAUGGGCGUUAAACUUCUUUUGUGCGGGAGCAAUAAUGGUCACGUGUGGCCAGACGAGAGUACCGUACGAAUAAGCAUCGGCUAACUCCGUGCCAGCAGCCGCGGUAAUACGGGGGAUGCAAGCGUUAUCCGGAUUUAUUGGGUUUAAAGGGUGCGUAGGCUGUGAGGUAAGUCAGCGGUGAAAUGCCCCCGCUCAACGGGGUGAAGUGCCAUUGAUACUGCCGUGCUGGAAUGCGGAUGCCGUGGGAGGAAUGUGUGGUGUAGCGGUGAAAUGCUUAGAUAUCACGAAGAACUCCGAUUGCGAAGGCAGCUCACUGGACUGCAACUGACACUGAGGCUCGAAAGUGUGGGUAUCAAACAGGAUUAGAUACCCCUGUAGUC
rnacentral:rRNA from 1 species